rnacentral:misc_RNA from 1 species
ACAUGAUCUGCAAGCUGCCCUUCCUCAGUCCCAUUGUCGUCGCAUAUCAGGUAUGAAGUCAUCACAUGCUCCAGAGCAUGAAGGCGGUGGCCUGGGAUGCAAAGUAGAGAGAAAAAUGCCAUGGAAGAAUCAUAGGAAGCACCAAAGUAAUCCUCUUAGCCAUUCUUACCGUAAACAAGCUGCUGAUAAUCCACUCAAGGCAUCAAAACUUCAAUUAGAAGGGAAAGAACAGCCUU